UGCACUCACUACUGUAAGACUCUCUGGAUAAGAGCGUCUGCCAAAUUACUAAAA
rfam:Salmo salar isolate Sally breed double haploid chromosome ssa01, whole genome shotgun sequence.